rnacentral:rRNA from 1 species
GAUUAACGUUGGCAGUGUGCCUAACACAUGCAAGUCGAGCGAUAUAGCGGCAGACGAGAGAGUAUAAGAAAGGAACGUACCCCCGAGUGAAGGAUAGCCAGCCGAAAGGCUGGGUAAUCCUGCAUAAUCCCGCAAGGGCAAAGCUUUACGCGCUUGGGGAGCGGCCUUUCUCCUAUCAGCUUGUUGGUGAGGUAAUGGCUUACCAAGGCGAUGACGGGUAGCUGGUCUGAGAGGAUGAUCAGCCUCGAUGGGACUGAGACACGGACCAUACUCCUACGGGAGGCAGCAGUUGGGAAUUUUGCACAAUGGAGGCAACUCUGAUGCAGCAACACUGCGUGAAGGAUGAAGGUUUUCGGAUUGUAAACUUCUUUUAUCUGGGAAUAAUCUUGAAGGUACCAAAUGAAUAAGCACCGGCUAACUACGUGCCAGCAGCCGCGGUAAU